rnacentral:tRNA from 1 species
CAGUAGGUAGUUAAAUAAAGAAUCCUAAUUUUGGGGAUUAGAGGUGGAUAUCAUUCCUUACUGA